rnacentral:rRNA from 1 species
AAACUUCCGCAAUGGACGCAAGUCUGCCGGAGCCACGCCGCGUUAGUGAAGAAGGUUUUCGGGUCGUAAAACUCUGUUGUUAGGGAAGAACAAGUAUCGGAGUCACUGCCGAUACCUUGACGGUACCUGGCGAGGAAUCCACGGCACACCACGUGCCAGCAGCUGCGGUAAUACGUAAGUGGCAAGCGUUGGCCGGAUUUUUUGGGCGUAAAGCGCACGCAGGCGGUCUUUUAAGUCUGAUGUGAAAUCAUACCAGUUAACUGAAAGCGGGCAUUGGAAAAUGAGAAACAUGAGUGCAGAAGAGGAGAGUGGAAUUCCAUGUGUAGCGGUGAAAUGCGUAGAGAUAUGGAGGAACACCAGUGGAGAAGGCGACUCUCUGGUCUGUAACUGACGCUGAGGCGCGAAAGCGUGGGGAUCAAACA